UUGAGCUUGAUUCCUGGCUCAGGACGAACGCUGGCGGCGUGCUUAACACAUGCAAGUCGAGCGGUAAGGCCUUUCGGGGUACACGAGCGGCGAACGGGUGAGUAACACGUGGGUGAUCUGCCCUGCACUUCGGGAUAAGCCUGGGAAACUGGGUCUAAUACCGGAUAUGACCUCAGGUUGCAUGACUUGGGGUGGAAAGAUUUAUCGGUGCAGGAUGGGCCCGCGGCCUAUCAGCUUGUUGGUGGGGUAAUGGCCUACCAAGGCGACGACGGGUAGCCGACCUGAGAGGGUGACCGGCCACACUGGGACUGAGACACGGCCCAGACUCCUACGGGAGGCAGCAGUGGGGAAUAUUGCACAAUGGGCGAAAGCCUGAUGCAGCGACGCCGCGUGAGGGAUGACGGCCUUCGGGUUGUAAACCUCUUUCAGCA
rnacentral:rRNA from 1 species